UACAACGACGGGUCAAUGGUCAUAAUC
rnacentral:sRNA from 1 species